rnacentral:rRNA from 1 species
AUUGAACGCUGGCGGCAGGCUUAACACAUGCAAGUCGAACGCGUGGCGGACGGGUGAGUAAUGCUUGGGAAUCUAGCUUAUGGAGGGGGAUAACUACGGGAAACUGUAGCUAAUACCGCGUACCAUAGGAUGAGCCCAAGUGGUAGUAGGUAGUUGGUGAGGUAACGGCUCACCAAGGCGACGAUCUCUAGCUGGUCUGAGGGGAUGACCAGCCCCACUGGGACUGGGAUACGGCCCAGACUCCUACGGAAGGCAGCAGUGUGGAAUAGUGCGGAAUGGGGUGGACCUGACGCAGCCAUGCCGGGUGAAAGAAGAAUGCCUUCGGGUUGUAAAGUUCUUUCGGUAGCGAGGCGUUAACUACAGAAGAAGCACCGGCUAACUCCGUGCCAGCAGCCGCGGUAUAC